ensembl:snRNA U2 U2 spliceosomal RNA
AUUGCUUCUCAGCCUUUUGGCGAAGACCAAGUAUAGUAUCUGUUCUUAUCAGUUUAAUAGAACUAUGGAGAUGAUUAUAUGGGAUAGAAUACUAUAUGUAAAAUACAUGGCUGAGAAUCCAGUAUGUUUGGGCUGUGAUUGUUUUUUGUUUUUUUUGGUACUGGGGAUUGAACUCAAAACCUUGCACUUGGGAGGCAGGUGGUGGUGCCACUGAA